rnacentral:tRNA from 1 species
AAGGAGUUAGUUAAAUCAUAACAUUAGAAUGUCAAUCUAAAAUUGCUAUUCAGUUAGUACACCUUG